GUGCUUGCUUCGGUAGCACAUAUACUAAAAUUGGAAUGAUACAGAGAAGAUUAGCAUGGCCCCUGCACAAGGAUAACAAGCAAAUUUGUGAAGUGAAUUAUU
rnacentral:snRNA from 1 species